CCUACGGGAUGCUGCAGUGAGGAAUAUUGGUCAAUGGACGAGAGUCUGAACCAGCCAAGUAGCGUGAAGGAUGACUGCCCUAUGGGUUGUAAACUUCUUUUAUAUGGGAAUAAAACGUUCCACGUGUGGGAUUUUGUAUGUACCAUAUGAAUAAGGAUCGGCUAACUCCGUGCCAGCAGCCGCGGUAAUACGGAGGAUCCGAGCGUUAUCCGGAUUUAUUGGGUUUAAAGGGAGCGUAGGUGGAUUGUUAAGUCAGUUGUGAAAGUUUGCGGCUCAACCGUAAAAUUGCAGUUGAAACUGGCAGUCUUGAGUACAGUAGAGGUGGGCGGAAUUCGUGGUGUAGCGGUGAAAUGCUUAGAUAUCACGAAGAACUCCGAUUGCGAAGGCAGUUCACUGGACUGCAACUGACACUGAGGCUCGAAAGUGUGGGUAUCAAACAGGAUUAGAUACCCGGGUAGUC
rnacentral:rRNA from 1 species